CGAAUAUUGACGAGAGUCAAAGAGUCAAAUACUCAUCUAGAGACUCGACGGUUCAUAUUUUAGAUAAUACAACAAGGUUUAUGACGGAUGAUGUUAUGCCUAGCUUUACCGUGAAGGGGAAAAGGAGAAAACGACUUUCCAAAAGCAGUUUUUCAAGCAAGUGUCACUGUGAUUACUGCUACUGAACAUGAAGUUGAUGGGGCAAUUGGAUCCUGUCUGAAGUACGCUCCAGACAGACCAACUGUUUACACAAGUUAAUUAACAUACAUCUCUAAACUUAUGAAUUUACCAUGUAUCAUUUAAUUUAAUGUGCCUUUAUCAUUUAAUACUUUUAUUGUCUGUACAGAUUUGUUGUGAAAAUAAAACCUGUACAUUGUCUGAGUUGUUUGUUAAUGAAUGUAG